rnacentral:rRNA from 1 species
CAGCCGUAAACUAUGCUCGCUAGGUGUCAGGGACGGUGCGACCGUUUCUGGUGCCGCAGGGAAGCCGUGAAGCGAGCCACCUGGGAAGUACGGUCGCAAGGCUGAAACUUAAAGGAAUUGGCGGGGGGAGCACUACAACGGGUGGAGCCUGCGGUUUAAUUGGACUCAACGCCGGAAAACUCACCGGGGGCGACAGCAAUAUGUAGGUCAAGCUAAAGACUUUGCCGGAUUAGCUGAGAGGUGGUGCAUGGCGUAGUCGUGU